CCUACGGGUGGCUGCAGUGGGGAAUAUUGGACAAUGGGCGAAAGCCUGAUCCAGCCAUGCCGCGUGUGUGAAGAAGGCCUUCGGGUUGUAAAGCACUUUCAGUGGGGAAGAAAGCCUUGGGGCUAAUACCCUCGAGGAAGGACAUCACCCACAGAAGAAGCACCGGCUAACUCCGUGCCAGCAGCCGCGGUAAUACGGAGGGUGCGAGCGUUAAUCGGAAUUACUGGGCGUAAAGCGCGCGUAGGCGGUCUGAUAAGCCGGUUGUGAAAGCCCCGGGCUCAACCUGGGAACGGCAUCCGGAACUGUCAGGCUAGAGUGCAGGAGAGGAAAGUAGAAUUCCCGGUGUAGCGGUGAAAUGCGUAGAGAUCGGGAGGAAUACCAGUGGCGAAGGCGGCCUUCUGGACUGACACUGACGCUGAGGUGCGAAAGCGUGGGUAGCAAACAGGAUUAGAUACCCGAGUAGUC
rnacentral:rRNA from 1 species